rnacentral:lncRNA from 1 species
UUGCAUCUGCAAUUCCAGGACUCUGGAGCUUGCUCUGUUGGCGGCAAGUUAGCAGAAUUCUUUGCAGAGCCAUUAUUUUAGAUGUUGCUGGAAUUCUGUUCAAAUGUUCAAAAAGUAAAAAGACUGCCCUGAAGAUUUUGUUCUUAUUCUAAACUGGGGAAAACUCCCCACUUAGCUAAAGAACUGGACCUGUGGGAAAAAAAGGAGAUUCUUUUCCGAGACCAUUCCUUCAUUCUGGUUCCUGGAGGAGCGACCUGUGAAUUCCUGAUGACAGACAGUUCCCUUAAAAUUCUACAUGAAUUUUUUACAAGGUUUAAAGGAAUGUAGUGAGAGAUGGACAUAAGGAACAAAACAUUGUUUAGGUAAGU